AUGAAACAUCCAAUAACUGUCCAAACUGUAGCCAGAGCAUUUUCUGAUACAGUGUUCAAACUACAUGGAAUGCCAUUGGUCAUAGUAACUGACAGGGAUAGGAUCUUCACCAGCAAAUUAUGGCAGCAACUGUUUAAAUCCCUCAACAUCAAACUGCACAUGAGCACCAGCUACCAUCCACAAACUGAUGGCCAAACAAAGAGGGUAAACCAAUGUUUGGAAAACUACUUGAGGUGUAUGUGUUUCCAACAGCCAAGAAAGUGGCAUGGCUGGCUAGCUCUAGCUGAAUGGUGGUACAAUACCAGCUUCCAUACUUCUCUGCAAAUGACCCCCUUUCAAGCCUUAUAUGGAUUCCCUCCCCCCAUGGUAGCUGAGUCUGCAUUACCUGACUCCAUUUCUGAGGACAGUGACAAUUUACUGCAAAAUAGAGAACUGGCACUAGAGGUGAUAAAGCAAAAUCUGUCCAAGGCACAGGAAAGAAUGAAGCAUUAUGCUGACAGAAACAGACAGGAAAGAUCCUUUGAGGCAGGAGAUAUGGUUUACUUGAAACUGCAGCCAUAUAGGCACACAUCAUUGAGUCUGCAUAGACACCUCAAGUUACAUUCCAAGUUCUAUGGGCCCUUCAGAGUUAUGCAACAAGUGGGCAAAGCUGCUUACCAGCUACUUCUACCUGAAGGUUGUCUCCUACACAACACCUUCCAUGUCAGUCAGCUCAGAAAGCACAUUGGCCCAAGAGUAGUUCCUUCAAAGAACUUGCCCCUGAUAGAUGCUGAUGGAGUUGUAAAAAUGGAACCUGAAGCAAUAUUGGACAGAAAACUAAUUCCCAGACCUCAGGGCAACAUCAGCAUUCCAGUCGUCAGAUGGUUGAUCAAGUGGGUCAAUAUGCCUGAAGAAGCAUCUACUUGGGAGGACUCGGCCUUCAUACAGAAGGUUUUUCCUUCCUUUCAAGCUUGA
rnacentral:rRNA from 1 species